UGUACAGUUCACACUACACGACUGAAUCUCUGGCACUCAGGAGUCUUCUCAGUCGGUGUGUAUUUCACACUACACGAUUGAUCAGUGAUGGGGGGUUUCACACUUUACGAUCUAUCACCAACUGGAAUCUCAGGUGAGCUUCUCUGGUCUCCCAAAUAUCGUUUUGUCGUGAAAAUGUGAGAAGUGACGAAAGGUUUAAUGAUACGUCCAAAAAUGCACGUCAACAAGUAGCGAGCGAUCAAAGUUUGUGCGCGUGAAAACGAAGAGAAAAAAUAAAAUGAAUCUUAGUGGAUUUUGCUUGGAUUGUUCUAUAGUGAGUUGGAGGUUAAUAGGCUAAUGGGUUUUGUAGAGAACAAUAAGGUCAGAAAUACUGUAAUACUUGUGUGUGUGUCGGUGUAUUAUGAUAUAAACUACAUUAAACCCCUGUACAGCCUUUUACACACUUCUCCUGCAUUUUUCCUCACACUGCAUCUUGUGUUCUCAUUGGCCAGUUUUUCGAUAUGGAAUAAAAAGAACAGGAGGCGCUGCAUGCUUAUGACGCAGAAUAAUGUGGAAAGCACGCCAGUGUCAAGCAAAGCCAGGAAAGCCCAGCAACAACAGCCAGAUUUUUCGAUAUGGAAUAAAAAGAACAGGAGGCGCUGCAUGCUUAUGACGCAGAAUAAUGUGGAAAGCACGCCAGUGUCAAGACUAGAGACUAUUUCAGAACUGCCUGACGUGCCCGGAUCGCACAUCACGCCUUAAACUUUCUUUCUCUCUCUGUGUGUGUGUGUGUGUGUGUGUGUGUAAAAAAAAAAAAAAAAAAAAAAAAAAAAUACCCCCCCCCCCAAAAAAAAACAAACAAACAAACAAACAAACAAAACCUUUCCUAUUCCUAUUCUAAUCUGGCUUAAAUAUUUUUUAAUCAAUAAUUGAACCAAUUGCUCCGUAUGGCAAUACAUUUUGGGGUUCACUAACACACCAUCAAUUCCAUAAUUGGGACAAACAUCCAACAGAGACCCUGCACACAGAGUUCUGUAAAACCAUCCUAAAAGUGCACAGAAACACCACGAACAAUGCGUGCAGGGCAGAAUUGGGCAGAUUUUCUUUUUUUAUUUCAUUUUUUUAAUUUUUUUAAUAUAAACACACAGAGAAGAGCAAUCAACAUCUGGAAACAUCUAAACGAGAGCUACCCCCAACCUUAUCAUUAUAAAGCCCUGAAACACCAAGAACUGAGCAGUGAUCCCUGAUUUGGGAUUUGGAGUUACUGAAACAAGGAAAUCUGAAUCACUUAGCAUGAACAAGCAAAAACAUGUCAGGUCAACAGAUUUCACCCUGAUAUUGUGCCAACAAGAUUCUCUGAGUUACCACAACAAUCAAUUUUCAGAUACACAAUGUUAAUUUGUUUAAUUGGCUGAUUGCACACGCGCACUAAGGCACACUCCGUCUGCAAACCAGGGGCUCAAUUUGAAUGGUGCUUCACAUGCGGUUUCAGAAAGCUUCAUGUGUGGUUAGGAAGACUGAAGCUGAUGAAUAUGAAUACUUGAUGUCUGAAAACGACUUUGGAGGAGAUUCAUGUAAUUGCAGGGCUGCAUGCAAUUUCACCAGCUUAAGCCAAGCUGUCCUUUGGAGACACUAUCGACUUCAUCAUGAGAAGCUUUCCUACUGGCCUUGUAUUCAUACAGACUGUGUGUGUCUUCAGAACAACAUGUGCCUUAAGAUCACAUCUUUCCAGAUCCCACUGCAACAGCACUUCAGUGCAUCACAAACUCUUAACAUUUAAGUAUAGAUCCUGUGAUUUUCAAGAAAUUUGUACUGAAAAACAGUUUCCUACUCAUCUUGGAAACCAAAUCUUAAAAACCGUAAAACAGUUCAGUGUCCCCAUGUUUGAUGUGGAUUUAAAACAAACAACCGUCCAACUUUUAGCUCUCAUCAAAGCAGAAUCCACAAAAAUACACCGUUAAGGAUUUUCAAACUAUAAUAAGUGCGAACCCUGACGAUCUAGACGCUGGUCUCAAAGGAACAUGCCACUUCAUCUACAGUGUCAGGACCUCUGACAUUGUAGCCCACCAGUGCUGUGCCUUUGUUUCUAAGAGAAGAUCUCACAAGGUUAUUCAAGAAAUGUCUGGGUACAGAUCCUGAAAAUGGGCAGACCAAAGUGUUAGUUCUGGAGGUCUCUGUUGCAAGCUUGUCAUUGAAGGAGACCAGAGUAGGCUGAUCUCCUAUCGAGCAAAAUUAUACCACUGGAAUUACUUUGAGGGGGGCGGUGGGAGCGUAUAUGGAGCACAAGAGGAUCAAGAGAAGGCAUACAGAACCAGCUGAGGAGAAGGGGUAGCCGGCUUCCGUUACCAGCUAUCAAGCUGACAAAGGUGCGCUCAUUACGCAACAAAACUCAACACUUCUGAAGUUCGAUGGGGAUUACGGACAGACCAGCCUUUUUAGUUUUACUGAGACCUGUCUUUCAGCAGACACAGAUAACCAGUUGCAGGGGUUUACCAUCAUUGGCCUUGACAGAGAUGCGACCAAAACAAGGAAGACGCUUGCGGGCGGUCUCUGCAUGGCUGUAAACAGCAAAUGAGCGACCAACUACACAGUGAGAGAGACGGAGAGCUAUAGACAGUACGAACUCUUAACAGUGUCAUUUAGACCACACUAUCUCCCACAUAGUGGACAAUUUUAACAGGGCUGUUAAUAGAAGAGAUGGAACGAUCGAUCGGCUAUGUAUUGGUUUUAAUCUAAAUUUGCGAUUGGUGAUCGGCAGAUAUUUCUUAAAUGUAGCUGAGUCGAUCGCAAGCGCCUAAAGCAGACCUGGGCGUCAUACGCCACAUCCGGCCCACGUGGGGUUCGUGGCAAUUAAAAAUAAAUGUACAUCACACAUGCUA